AGUCGGAGGGCGGAGCCUAGGGUCGUGAGCGCUCCGGUGACGGAAGUUGUGCUGUCGGCGGAGGGGGAUUUUCCGCCUGUGGUUCCGUGUGGCUGUGCUCGCCAGUUAGAAAGGCUCCCGCGACCUGUCCCUCACCCCCGUUUGGCCUUCAGACUCCCGAGAUGUCUGCGAUUCCUGCGGAGGAGAGCGACCAGCUGCUGAUCCGACCCCUUGGAGCUGGGCAAGAAGUGGGAGGAUCAUGUAUCAUUCUGGAGUUCAAAGGAAGAAAAAUAAUGCUGGACUGUGGGAUCCACCCAGGCCUGGAAGGAACGGACAUGCUUCCUUGUAUCGAUUUAAAUGACCCAGCAGAGAUUGAUCUCCUACUCAUUCGUCAUUUCCAUUUGGAUCACUGUGGAGCUUUGCCGUGAUUUCUACAGAAGACAAGUUUCAAAGGAAGAACAUUUAUGACUCAUGCUACAAAAGCUAUUUAUAGAUGGCUUCUUUCAGAUUAUGUCAAAGUUAGGUAAAUCACUUUAUUAGAUUGAUACAUGCACUUGGUUCUACACAGUACCUUACAAUUCAAGAUAUAGACCAUUUUGUGUUUUGAAAUGAGAUGUUCUUUUCAUUCACGAGGAUAUGAUUAAUUUAGUCAUUCAUUAUAACAACUCCUCAAACACCUUUUGUGUCCCCAGCACUCCUUGGCCUUAACGUCUUUAUGUAGUUUUGCAUCCUUUUAAAUCUUUGUAAUUUGGGUGAGUAUAAGGUAUGAUACUAAUAAAUAGAAUUUCAUGAUUUUAUUAAAAUUUAAAACAAAAUACAUUACAUAUG